rnacentral:lncRNA from 1 species
AAGAAAGCGUGAUGGUGUGUUCUAAAGCGUAUCAUACCUUUCAAUAGUGUCUCUUGUUUCUUUACAACCACAAAAAAGAAAUAGAAAAUUAUAUAUUUAAAGCAACAAAGGGAAUGACGAGAUAUGGAUGGAACAAUGCAGGUUAUAAAGUUGUAUAUAUGUACGCACACAUAUCUGUGAUACGUAUCAAGAAAUUGUCGUGAAAGCACGCAUAUGAAGUAGCUAUUUGCUAGGUGAGAUUACCUUUUUCAUGAUUUUCCUAUCUUAUUAAUAUAUAUAGUUCUCUUUGUUAGAUCCUGAUGCAUUUUUUAAACCCUUAUUUGAUGCUGCUGGUGUAGAAAAUAAAACUGAUCUAGAGUGUGUCAUUAUCAAUUCACAUUAUGAUCUCCACUACCCUUUGCAGUCAGUUGUAGAAAAAUUAGGACCUUGGCAUACACAUGCGCGCCAACAACUUGUUUAUAUACAAUAUGUAGUAUUCUAAUUAAAUUUUAAAUGGUUAGAAAAUGUUCAUAUAUAUAUAUAUAUAUAUAUAUAGAUAUAUAUAUAUAUAUAUAUAUAUAUAUAUAUAUAUAUUAAUCNNNNNNNNNNNNNNNNNNNNNNNNNNNNNNNNNNNNNNNNNNNNNNNNNNNNNNNNNNNNNNNNNNNNNNNNNNNNNNNNNNNNNNNNNNNNNNNNNNNNAUUAUAUUUAUAAUUUAAUUGAUGAAAUACGUACACUGAUUAUCUAAAAGAUUUUAAUUUGUCAUAUAAUUCCUUUAAAAAAGUUAUAUAUAUAUAUAUAUAUAUAUAUAUAUAUAUAUAUAUAUAUAUAUAUAUAUAUAUAUAUAUAUAUAUAUAUAUAUAUAUAUAUAUAUAUAUAUAUAUAUAUAUAUAUAUAUAAAAAUAUAUAUAUUAAUAAAUUUUUUUUUUAUUUUUUAUUUAAAAUAUUUUUUAUAUAAUUAUAUGCGGACUUUGAUAUUAGUUUCUAUAUAUAUAUAUAUAUUUAUAUAUUAAGGGUGUGUUUCAUAAAAUAAAAGAAUAUCUCUUUAUAUAAAGAGUUUGUUACUCACUAAAUAGCGUGUGUAUAAAUUUGCUAUAUAUAAGAGAUAUAAAUAAAAAAAGGGGGGGGGUGUCUAUAUAUGUGUAAAAAUAUAUAUAUAUAUAUAUAUAUAUAUAUAUAUAUAUAUAUAUAUAUAUAUAUAUAUAUAUAUAUAUAUAUAUAUAUAUAUAUAUAUAUAUAUAUAUAUAUAUAUAUAUAUAUAUAUAUAUAAUAUGACUAUCUAAACCUUUGUCAAUUUUAUUGGUAAGCAAGUUGAUAUUUUGGAGAAUUAAGUGAUUGUAUAUCAAUUUUUUAAAAUUGGUAGUCAAUCCUUUUAUUUUUAUAUUUACAAUAUUAACAAUUAAAUUACAUGAUUUUGAUAUAUGUGUAACAAUAUUCAUAAAUAUAUUAGUCUAAUAUCAGUAAUUGUCAAAAAUAAUUUACUUUCCGAUGCUUUUAAAUUGCUUUUCAAUUUCACAUGUGAAUGAAGUUAUUGAAAAUAACAUUCUUAAUGAAAAUAAGUUCUUUUAAUUACAUAAUCAAUUUUUUUUUCAUAUUCUAUUUAUUCUUUAAGGGUUUCCUUCAUUGUCUUCAAGUAAUUACAUCAAAAUUUCAUUUUCAUAACUUUAUCAAAUUUUAUAUUGACAACAUGUGACUAGGGUUUAAGAUUUUAUUUAUGAUAAAGAAGUAUCACUUUAACGUGAAAACAAUACAAUUGUAAUUAAGACAGUAUGAGAUUGAAAGCUGAGUAGUAAAAAUUAGUAUAAAAAAAAGAAGACAUAUUGUAGAAAAAAUAGAGAAAUAUUAAACAGUGAAACGGAAACAUGUUGAAAAGAGUGUUUUUAAAUUCUAGAAACAAAGAAUUUGCGUGACGAAUAACUAGUUGAACCAAUUUAAUUAGUUAUGAUAAUAGAUCUUAUUUUAUUAAUUAAAUUAUAAUUGUACUUGGCUUAUCUUAAAUACUAUCUUUUAUAUUUAUUUUUAAACAAUUCAUUUACAUCAAGAUUGUAAUAUAUGAUUUCUAAAAAAAAAAAGAUUGUAAUAUGAUUGACUCUGCAUUAUAUUCUCGAAGUAAAUUUACCAAACAGUUUGAUUUUCUUUUUUAUCUCUAAAGUCUAAACUUGUUUUCGAAUUAAUACUUACCAAAUAUGUUUUAUUCUUUUUUUUUUCUUAAAUAGGGAUCUUCUUUCUUAUUAUUUAGUGGGUUUCAUUAUCAAACUAAUGUGAGCCACAUAAAAGAUUUAAACCAGUGAGAGAGAAUACUAAUGAAAAAGAGUAUUAAAUGUGUGUCACUAAUUAUUCUUUUAGCUAGAAUAGUUUUAAAAAAUAAAAGAUCGAAACAUAAUCAAACAGGCCUAUACUAUAAGUUUCGAAGACUAAUAAAUCAAGUUUGAAGUAAUAGAUAUAAAAAGACCUCGACCUAUAGAUCUGUGAGACUAUCUACUUCUAAUUGUGAUGACUUCUGUGUGUCUUCUGCAAAGGGCGAGAACUAUGAUCACCCGAGACAUUUUGGUUUUCUUUUCUUUGUUUUCAAUGAGAUCUUGGACACAUGCAAUGCACGGGUAAUUUUUUUUAGUUAUUAUAUAAAAAUUAAUUUGUAAUAAUAUAAGAGUCUAAUAUUUUUAUACUGAUAGUAUAAAGUCAUUUAAUUAUAAAUUAUUUAAGAUAAUUAUUUUAAAAUUAAUAAAUUUAUUAUAAAUAAUAGAUUUUGAUUAGAAAAUUGUAUAACACUCUUUACAUUAUUAAUAUAUAAUUCUUUUUCUCAUAAUAUAAAUGACAAAAUAAGUAUAGAUAUAAAAAAAAUCAUGUGUUUAGAAAGACUCUCUUUCAAGUUUUUUUUUUUUUUUACAAACUUUGAUAUUUUUUGUGUCAUUUGAUCUUUAUUAAUAUAUUUCUUUUACCUAUAAAAAGUUGUAAAAAAAAUUGAUACAAUUUCUUUAUAUUUUAUACAUAUGAUAAAGAACUUGAACCUAAUAUACGUACUGCUUGAAUAUAUCAUGGAUGCAUUCGUUGACGGUUGACAUAUUACAUGUAUCAGUCCAUCAAAAACUUACAACACAUUCACAUAUUAAUUGCAUGUAUUAGUCUAUCAUUUUCUUAUAUAUAAUACACUAAUUUAAUUAACUGAUAAAUAUAUAUUUCAGAUAACAAACAGAUUCAUUACACAUGAUAUGAUAUAUAUAGAGUUUAUUAGUAAUUUAUGGAUGGGUGGAAGCUGUUAGAGUGAUAUUGGCAGAGGCAGAACAUCAUCUGAAGAUUGAAGGGAAAUGAAUCCAAUUAAGUCACUGGGGGAACUCCGGUAGAAGUUGCACCACGAAGAGUGGAAGGUGGGCCACUCAGCUGAGCCGGAAUGAAAUCACCGACCAUAUCUAUUUUCAAUUAUUCAUAUUCAUGCAUACCGUGCUUACAAAGCAGGACCAUCUAGUACGGACCACACAUCAAAGGUCUUGUUGAUAUUUAACACUCACCGUUCUCCUUGUAAUAUGCAUGUUUAAUCUCAUGUUAGAGUUUUUACUAUACUAGAUAUGAUUUUUGGUAAAAUUUUACAGGUUUGGUUCAUUGACG